GACGUAGGGCGCGAGCGUGUCCGGAUUUAUUGGGCGUAAAGAGCUCGUAGGCGGCUUGUCGCGUCGCUCGUGAAAACUGCAGCUCAACUGCAGGCUUGCGGUCGAUACGGGCAGGCUAGAGUUCGGUAGGGGAGACUGGAAUUCCUGGUGUAGCGGUGAAAUGCGCAGAUAUCAGGAGGAACACCCGGUGGCGAAGGCGGGUCUCUGGGCCGAUACU
rnacentral:rRNA from 1 species